rnacentral:rRNA from 1 species
CCUACGGGCGGCUGCAGUGGGGAAUAUUGCACAAUGGGCGCAAGCCUGAUGCAGCCAUGCCGCGUGUGUGAAGAAGGCCUUCGGGUUGUAGAGCACUUUCAGCGGGGAGGAAGGCGGUGAGGUUAAUAACCUCAUCGAUUGACGUUACCCGCAGAAGAAGCACCGGCUAACUCCGUGCCAGCAGCCGCGGUAAUACGGAGGGUGCAAGCGUUAAUCGGAAUUACUGGGCGUAAAGCGCACGCAGGCGGUCUGUCAAGUCGGAUGUGAAAUCCCCGGGCUCAACCUGGGAACUGCAUUCGAAACUGGCAGGCUAGAGUCUUGUAGAGGGGGGUAGAAUUCCAGGUGUAGCGGUGAAAUGCGUAGAGAUCUGGAGGAAUACCGGUGGCGAAGGUGGCCCCCUGGACAAAGACUGACGCUCAGGUGCGAAAGCGUGGGGAGCAAACAGGAUUAGAUACCCGAGUAGUC